UGGGGAAUAUUGGGCAAUGGGCGAAAGCCUGACCCAGCAACGCCGCGUGAAGGAAGAAGGUCUUCGGAUUGUAAACUUCUUUUAUGAGGGACGAAGGACGUGACGGUACCUCAUGAAUAAGCCACGGCUAACUACGUGCCAGCAGCCGCGGUAAUACGUAGGUGGCAAGCGUUAUCCGGAUUUACUGGGUGUAAAGGGCGCGUAGGCGGGAUGCAAGUCAGAUGUGAAAUCUAUGGGCUUAACUCAUAAACUGCAUUUGAAACUGUAUCUCUUGAGUGCUGGAGAGGUAGAUGGAAUUCCUUGUGUAGCGGUGAAAUGCGUAGAUAUAAGGAAGAACACCAGUGGCGAAGGCGAUCUACUGGACAGUAACUGACGCUGAGGCGCGAAAAGCGUGGGGAGCAAACAGGAUUAGAUACC
rnacentral:rRNA from 1 species